rnacentral:rRNA from 1 species
AUCCAGACUCCUACGGGAGGCAGCAGUGGGGAAUAUUGCACAAUGGGGGAAACCCUGAUGCAGCGACGCCGCGUGAGUGAAGAAGUAAUUCGUUAUGUAAAGCUCUCUCAGCAGGGAAGAAACAGACGGUACCUGAGUAAGAAGCCCCGGCUAACUACGUGCCAGCAGCCGCGGUAAUACGUAGGGGGCAAGCGUUAUCCGGAUUUACUGGGUGUAAAGGGGGCGCAGACGGCGAUGCAAGCCAGGAGUGAAAGCCCGGGGCCCAACCCCGGGACUGCUCUUGGAACUGCGUGGCUGGAGUGCAGGAGGGGCAGGCGGAAUUCCUGGUGUAGCGGUGAAAUGCGUAGAUAUCAGGAGGAACACCGGUGGCGAAGGCGGCCUGCUGGACUGCAACUGACGUUGAGGCCCGAAAGCGUGGGGAGCAAACAGGAUUAGAUACCCGAGUAA